rnacentral:lncRNA from 1 species
AGGGACGGAGGUGCCUGUUUACCCGCGCCGGACUCACCGCCGCCGCCGCCGCGGGAUCCGAGUGGGGGCGCGGGCGCGGGCGCUCCCGGCGAGCCACGGUGGUGCUGGCUAGAGUGCAUGCUUUUGGACCUGAGCUUAACUUUUCAAAUGUGGAAUGCUAGGCCUUCACUGGUAAGUUUGAUGCUUUCUUACCAAAUUAUGCCGCCAAGGAUUUGUGCUUGGAAUGAAGGGCAAGGUAGUUAGCAUUGGCUUUGCUCUGUGAAGGGAAUCAGGCCAGGGCCCUAGAGAAGCCCAUAGUGUAAGUAGAAGAGAUCUGAAGGGGAGCUCCCUGUAGGUUUCUGCAGUUGAUGCAGAGAGAAAGGCCAGAAGAGAAGCAUCCAGAGAUGCAGGGGAUGGAUGCAGCUGGCCUCACAGAGAGGUGGAGCUUCGGCUGUGUUUUGGAGGAUGGACAAGUCCAAGGAGGAGUGAAGUAAGCUUUUCAGACUUGAGAAGGUGGGUGUAAGAUGUAAAGAAAGUGGGCUCAGCGGAAGACCCACACGAGCAAAAACUUCAUCAAAGGAGCGAUGAAUAAGAACUUUGGCAGGAUCUGCUGGUGGCUGAUUAUUCUAGACCGGGGUCAGCAGACUUUUCCUGUAAAGGAUCAGAUGGUAAAUAUUUUCGGCUUCAUAGACCAUAUGGUCUCUGUCAUAGCUACUCAACUCUGCCAUUGUAGCGGGAAAGCAGCCAUAGAUAAUAUGUAAAUGACGGUGUGGCUGUGUUCCAGUAAUGCUUUAUUUACAGAAACAGGUGGUGGGCUGGAUUUGGCCCAUGGGCUAUAGUUUGCCCACUCCGUUUCUAGACCCUGAAUGCUGGACUAAGGCACUUGGACUUUGUCCUAAAGGCGGUGGUGGGAAGCCAUGGAAGUCAUUUUGGGCAAAGAAGUGAAAUGGCAGAAGUAACACAUUAGGAGUGUUCAUCUGGGAACUGGACAAGAAGCAUGGGCUCUGUUCAGAGGCAGCAGCAGCAAUCUAGCCAUGAGGUCAUGUGGUUAACAGUGGUUAAAAUGGAGCGAAGGACCAAUAGAAGAGAUAUUGCAAAGGGAGACCCAUAGGGUUUAUGGUCUUCUUAGACUUUAAAGGUAGGAGCCAAAGGAGAGGAAAGUUUAGACUUGAUAGUUCACAAUGGUGCCAUUGAUAGGAAUGUGGCUAUUGGAGGUGGAGAAGGGUAGUUGAUGUAUAUAGUUUUUGAUACAGUGACUUGGAGAAGGCAGUGGUUCAUCCAUAGGACAUGUCUAAGAGACAGAUGGAAUUGCAGGGCUGGGAGUUCCCGUCGAGGCUCAGUGGUUAACGAAUCCACCUAGGAACCAUGAGGUUGUGGGUUCAAUUCCUGGCCUCACUCAGUGGGUUAAGGAGCCGGCCUUGCUGUGAGCUUGUGGUGUAGGUCACAGACGAGGCUCAGAUCCCGCGUUGCUGGGACUGUGGUGCAGGCUGGCAGUUGUAACUCCAAUUCAACCCUAGCCUGGGAACCUCCAUAUGCAGUGAGCAUAGCCCUAGAAAAAGACAAAAAGAAAAAGAAAAAAAGAAAGAAAUACAGGACUGAAUCCUGGACUGAGAAGAGUAGUUCUGGCCAUGUGCAACGGAAGCCAUGAUGAGCAGAGGGUGGAGCCUUGGGGAAGGUGCCUGCCUCUGGGAUGGAAAGCAGAAGCUGGAAGAGAACCAGAAGCCAAAAAGAAGAGAGUCUCAGGAAGGGAAGAGGAUGGAGCAGCAGAGACCAGGGAGAAGGGACCAGAGGGAAGGCUGCCGAAUUGGUGAUAAGGUGAUUGCAGCUGACUUUGGGGAAUGUGAUGCCACGAGAGGGGAAGCCACAUUGUGCAGG